UCCGGCAGGAUCGCCGCGAUGGCUGCCCAGGGAGAGCCGCAGGUCCAGUUCAAGGUCGUCCUGGUGGGCGACGGCGGCAUCACCGGAAAGACGACGUUCAUGAAGCGCCACUUGAACGGAGAGUUUGAGAAGGAGUACGUAGUCACCCUGGGCGUGGAGGUGCACACACUAGUCUUCCAGACCAACAGAGGACCUAUCAAGUUCAAUGUGUGGGACACAGCGGGUCAGGAGAAGUUCGGGGGGGGGGGCUGCGCGAUGGCUACUACAUCCAAGCCCAGUGUGCCAUUAUAAUGUUUGACGUAACAUCAAGAGUUACUUACAAGAACGUGCCUAGCUGGCAUAAAGAUCUGGUACGCGUGUGUGAAAACAUCCCCAUUGUAUUGUGUGGCAACAAAGUGGAUAUUAAAGACAUGAAAGUGAAGGCAAAACCUAUUCUCUCCCACCGAAAGAAGAAUCUUCAAUACUAUGACAUUUCUGCCAAAAGUAACUACAACUUUAAAAAACCUUUCUUCUGGCUUGCCAGAAAGCUCAUUGGAGAUCCUAACUUGGAGUUCAUUGCUAUGCCUGCUCUUGCCCCACCUGAGGUGGUCAUGGACCCAGCUUUGGCAGCACAGUACGAGCAUGAUUUAGAGAUCCGCUCAGACAACUGCUCUCCCGGAUGAGGAAGAUGACCUGUGA